rnacentral:lncRNA from 10 species
UGAGACCCCUCCUAUCUAUCUGCCUAACCAGCCUCUACCUGCCUCCUCUCUCAUUCCAGUGGUGACCCUAAUUGCCAUUAGAGGGAGAGGGUAGAUGACCGCUCAGGCUUCUUCAAGCUGUGAGAGGGCAUUGUUACUGUGGCAGUAAGGGAUCCUCCAGAGGAUGGUCUAAUGGGCCUGAGAGGAAGGGUUCUUUCACACAGGGUUCCAUCUGCAUCAUGAUCUGGAGUUUGAUGGCCUCUAUGCAAGAAGAAACAAAUUUGGCUAAAAGAUGUAACACACAUGGUCCAAAAACCAACUCUUAAUCUUGAGAUAAAAGUGCUGAUAUCCUAUGCUAAACGAGACCUCUGCAGACUUGAGAAUACGACACGGAGACAGAAGAAAAACAGAAUCAGAAGCAAAGCUGGAUAAUGAAUGGAAAUAGAAGUGGACAGAAGUGGAGAAAGAUGAGAUAGAUCACCAGAGAAAAGAGCAGAGGAUACAGACUUCUGAGGUAUAACCAAGACAACCAGAUCACAUGAGCUUCUGUAACUUUCCACAACUGCUUUUGUUGUAUCUUCUUAUCCAAGGAUUC